rnacentral:ncRNA from 1 species
GCCUUAGUAGCGCAGCUAACGCGUGAAGUUGACCGCCUGGGGAGUACGGUCGCAAGAUUAAAACUCAAAGGAAUUGACGGGGACCCGCACAAGCGGUGGAUGAUGUGGAUUAAUUCGAUGCAACGCGAAAAACCUUACCUACCCUUGACAUGUCUAGAAGGCCGAAGAGAUUUGGCUGUGCUCGCAAGAGAACUGGAACACAGGUGCUGCAUGGCUGUCGUCAGCUCGUGUCGUGAGAUGUUGGGUUAAGUCCCGCAACGAGCGCAACCCUUGUCAUUAGUUGCUACGAAAGGGCACUCUAAUGAGACUGCCGGUGACAAACCGGAGGAAGGUGGGGAUGACGUCAAGUCCUCAUGGCCCUUAUGGGUAGGGCUUCACACGUCAUACAAUGGUCGGGACAGAGGGUAGCCAACCCGCGAGGGGGAGCCAAUCCCAGAAACCCGAUCGUAGUCCGGAUCGCAGUCUGCAACUCGACUGCGUGAAGUCGGAAUCGCUAGUAAUCGCGGAUCAGCAUGUCGCGGUGAAUACGUUCCCGGGUCUUGUACACACCGCCCGUCACACCAUGGGAGUGGGUUUUACCAGAAGUAGUUAGCCUAACCUUCGGGGGGGCGAUUACCACGGUAGGAUUCAUGACUGGGGUGAAGUCGUAACAAGGUAGCCGUAUCGGAAGGUGCGGCUGGAUCACCUCCUUU